rnacentral:miRNA from 1 species
UUUAUACGUCGAAUUUCGGUCGCGUCGAAUAUAAUUCAAACAAUCGAUGAGGUUUAUCAUCUCAUUAUCUAUUGUCUUAAUUGCAUUCGACGCGACCAAAAUUCGACGUAUAAA